AUUGAACGCUGGCGGCAGGCCUAACACAUGCAAGUCGAGCGGAUGAAGGGAGCUUGCUUCUGGAUUCAGCGGCGGACGGGUGAGUAAUGCCUAGGAAUCUGCCUGGUAGUGGGGGAUAACGUCCGGAAACGGGCGCUAAUACCCCAUACGUCCUGAGGGAGAAAGUGGGGGAUCUUCGGACCUUCCGCUAUCAGAUGAGCCUAGGUCGGAUUAGCUAGUUGGUGGGGUAAAGGCCUACCAAGGCGACGAUCCGUAACUGGUCUGAGAGGAUGAUCAGUCACACUGGAACUGAGACACGGUCCAGACUCCUACGGGAGGCAGCAGUGGGGAAUAUUGGACAAUGGGCGAAAGCCUGAUCCAGCCAUACCGCGUGUGUGAAGAAGGUCUUCGGGUUGUAAAGCCCUUUUAGUUGGAAAGAAGAGCAGUAAGUUAAUACCUUGCUGUUUUGACGGUACCAACAGAAUAAGCACCGGCUAACUUCGUG
rnacentral:rRNA from 1 species